UUUCUCUUCUUCUCUUAUAUGUUGCUUCUACUUCAAUGAAGCAAGCGCUUCAUUUAUUUUCACAAAAAAGUCGACUGAAGUGUGCAUGCAAUUUAAACUGAUAUUGCUACUAUUGUAACUACAGUUUUUUUCUCUCAUUUUUUCUAUUAUCUGUUGCUGCUUCAAGAUUUGUCGAAUUUCUUUUUAGUUCAGCUAGUUAUACAAUUAUGUUUAUAUAACCAAUGUCUUGAUGAGCAAUAAUUCUAAAGUGUCACUUAGAUAUUUUAGGUGAAGUGUCACUUAGAUAUUUUAUUUGUUCGCUGGAAAGGGUUGUUUUGUGUGCUUUUGAACUUCUAAAUUAAGAAUAAUGUAUAGAGUUUUCUGUCUUGCAGUCUUUAAUUUUUAAACACUCUCAGCUUCUUGUAGCUGAACCCUCUCAAUUUGUUGCCGCUCAAUACAUAUAGCUCCUUGCAGCAUCCCUCAUAUUUCAGCCUCUUUUAUGACGUUUGGAUUUUGAAGUGUGUAAUUAUACUUAAUGAUUUUGGACUUCUUUGUUCAGGUUUUGAAGACUUCGUACAAGCUACCAAGUUGAUUAUCGUCUUGCAAUAUGUUUUUGGCAAAACAUUACAAUAAAUUCUAGGGAUGUUAGGAUUGAGGUUGUGUAAACAAUGCUAUGACUUUUAUGUCAUGGAUUAUACCACAAGUGGGAUGUAAAUAUAUUUGUUUGUAGUAUAUAUGAAAGUCAUAGUUAAAAUUA